rnacentral:rRNA from 1 species
AGAGUUUGAUCCUGGCUCAGAAUGAACGCUGGCGGCGUGCUUAACACAUGCAAGUCGAACGAUGAAGCCUAGCUUGCCAGGUGGAUUAGUGGCGCACGGGUGAGUAAUAUAUAGUUAGCGUGCCUCUUAGUCUGGGAUAGCCAUUGGAAACGAUGAUUAAUACUAGAUACUCCUUCUGAUUCUAAUUUCAGUCUGGAAAGUUUUUCGCUAAGAGAUCGGACUAUAUCGCAUCAGUUAGUUGGUAGGGUAACGGCCUACCAAGACAAUGACGCGUAGCGGGUUUGAGAGGAUGAUCCGCCACACUGGUACUGAGACACGGACCAGACUCCUACGGGAGGCAGCAGUGAGGAAUAUUGCACAAUGGGGGAAACCCUGAUGCAACAACGCCGCGUGGAGGAUGACGCAUUUCGGUGUGUAAACUCCUUUUAUGAGUCAAGGAAAUGACGGUAGCUCAUGAAUAAGCACCGGCUAACUCCGUGCCAGCAGCCGCGGUAAUACGGAGGGUGCAAGCGGUAUUCGGAAUCACUGGGCGUAAAGGACGCGUAGGCGGGAUGCCAAGUCUGAUGUGAAAUCCUAUGGCUUAACCAUAGAACUGCAUUGGAAACUGGUAACCUAGAGUAUGGGAGGGGGAGAUGGAAUUAGUGGUGUAGGGGUAAAAUCCGUAGAUAUCACUAGGAAUACCGAAAGCGAAGGCGAUCUCCUGGAACAAUACUGACGCUAAGGCGUGAAAGCGUGGGGAGCAAACGGGAUUAGAUACCCCGGUAGUCCACGCCCUAAACGAUGUUCACUAGUCGUCGGAAUGCUAGUCAUUUCGGUGAUGCACUUAACAGAUUAAGUGAACCGCCUGGGGAGUACGGUCGCAAGAUUAAAACUCAAAGGAAUAGACGGGGACCCGCACAAGUGGUGGAGCAUGUGGUUUAAUUCGAAAAUACGCGAAGAACCUUACCUAGCCUUGACAUUGAUUGAACACUUUAGAGAUAGAGUGGUGCCCUUCGGGGAACAUGAAAACAGGUGCUGCACGGCUGUCGUCAGCUCGUGUCGUGAGAUGUUGGGUUAAGUCCCGCAACGAGCGCAACCCUCGUCCUUAGUUGCCAGCAGGUUAAGCUGGGCACUCUAAGGAGACUGCCUUCGCAAGGAGGAGGAAGGUGAGGACGACGUCAAGUCAUCAUGGCCCUUAUGGCUAGGGCUACACACGUGCUACAAGG